AGCUUUGUGCAGUGGCAGUAUCGUAGCCAAUGAGGUUUAUCCGAGGCGCGAUUAUUGCUAAUUGAAGAUCCAGUGCAAUCUUCUGUAAUUUGGGGCAAGUUACUACACUUAGCACAAGUUCCCACUUAUGGAAAUAGAGAUGACUG